AUCGCUCAGACGCUCACUACCUGAUUUUGCCCCUUCAGUUUUGCCGCCCUCUCGGCUGUGAUCUAUGGUCUUCGCUCUUAGCAGCUCUCAAGCUUUUCAGCCUAAUUAAGCGACAAUCUUCUUCGCACUUCUCGUCCAAAGUUGUUUGCCUCUAGGAGGUGCUUGUGUUUCCUGUUGCUAACACAGAACAAUGGACUGGGCUUCCGUGCAUAAAAUCUGGGAUAAAUGGGCUUCUAACCAUGUUGGUUGUUCAGGUCAAUCUUUGAAGGCUGCUUUGCUUAUAAAUUAUGACCCAAAUGGACCAUCUCGCCUUCUUUCUACCAUUGCAGAACAAGAAGGGAUAAAAGCAGAUCCAAUGGAAUUGAGUCAACUUGUUAAUUUUGUUAAGAGAAACAAGUUCCAGAGUGAGACCUUUUUUAUCGGGCAGAAUCAAUAUCUUGUCACAUCAAUUCAUGAGACUUGGUUCUGUGCAAGAUGCUUGAACACUUCUAAACCUGCUGGUGAAGGUGUGAUUAUCAUGCAAACAGCGGCAUUCCUCUUGGUUGGACUGUAUGAUGGCUCUAUAGGCCCAGCAUCUCGUGCAAUGGUAGCUGUUGACCAGUUUGCAUGGCAACUAAAUCGAAGAAAUCUUUGAAUUUGGGAUGCUUGGGUGUGUCAAGUGUAUAGUAUUCAUGUUAAGGUUUGUGUUUGACAAGAAACAUUUUACAGUAUCUGAUAAGAAAAGUAUUACACGUUUUGAACUUUUGAUUUACAUAGUACAAAAGCAUUAUGCAUAUGUGAACAUAAACUUUGUCCUUUCCUCCCUAACCAUCUUCUUUCCCCCCCAAAAUUUCAUUGUUUCCUGUAAUAAUUAGCUAAUUGCUACAACAAUUUAAUUUUCUGUCUACCAGAUUCUAGAGUUCCUUUCAUUUUGUAUACAACCAUGGAGAUCUGGAUCAAGAAUUAGACUGGGAGAAGCAACUUUUGUUACAUGGGUAAGGGCAAUCUAUCUUCUGAAACUGAUUUCUGUCAAAAAACCAUUCUCCAGCUGCUUCUGCAAUUGUCUGCACAUUGCAUUUUCAUCAAAACAUGUCAAUAGAAUCCUAGUACUCUCUGCCAUUUAACAUUAUAAUACCAUGUCACCAGUAUAAAUUACCUUAUUGAACAACCUUGGAGAGUUGGGGCUGUGCCACAAGUUCUGCAAUUCAGUGUGGCAGUGCAAAUAACAGGAGUUGAUAUAGUA